rnacentral:tRNA from 1 species
GCAGGAGUCGCCAAGCCUGGUCAACGGUGCUGGACCGAGGCUCCAGUCUCAUAGGAGUUCAUGGGUUCGAAUCCCAUCUCCUGCA